GCGUGCGUGAAGAAGGCCUUAGGGUUGUAAAGCGCUUUCGCCCGCGACGAUGAUGACGGUAGCGGGAGAAGAAGCCCCGGCUAACUCCGUGCCAGCAGCCGCGGUAAUACGGAGGGGGCGAGCGUUGUUCGGAAUUACUGGGCGUAAAGGGCGCGUAGGCGGCCUUGUCAGUCAGGCGUGAAAGCCCCGGGCUCAACCUGGGAUGUGCGCUUGAUACUGCGAGGCUUGAGACCGGAAGAGGAUGGCGGAAUACCCAGUGUAGAGGUGAAAUUCGU
rnacentral:rRNA from 1 species